rnacentral:rRNA from 1 species
AACGACUCUCGGCAACGGAUAUCUCGGCUCUCGCAUCGAUGAAGAACGUAGCGAAAUGCGAUACUUGGUGUGAAUUGCAGAAUCCCGUGAACCAUCGAGUCUUUGAACGCAAGUUGCGCCCGAAGCCACUAGGCUGAGGGCACGUCUGCCUGGGCGUCACGCA